CGUCUUCCUCCUUCGACCCGCUCCAGCCCCUUCCCGGGGGCGGACUGCGGCCGCUACUCCAGUCCCCGGCUCGGCCCCUGGGCUAGGCCGCGACGGGCCCCGGGCGCCCUCAGGGCGGUGUCGCGGUCCGAGGCGGCGGGUGGUGGCAGGGCGGGGCCACUGCCGCCUGGGGGUGGGGGCCCAGCUCGGCCUCGUGGGGGCUCCGCUCGCCGCUACCUUCACUAGGCUCGCUCGGAUCCCGCCUCAGCGCCGCCGACCGCCGCCAUCUUGGAGAAGGAGAGAAAAGCGCGAGCGGCCAGGGAGCCUCAGUCGAGCCCAGAGCGCAGACUCCGCUUGGGAAGGGGAAUCCCGUUGGUGCAAGAGCGCCGAGCGCAUCGAAUGAGACGCUGGGCUUGCUGAGCUCCGGAGCUGUCCUGUAGUGAGAAUUUGCUCUGUGCCGCGCUUGGGCUAGAAGCUUUACGAACACGACAGCGUUUGAUUCUCACCGCAUCCCUUGAGGUCAUCCUUUGAGAAGAUCAAUAAAAUGGAUAAAUCUCUAGCUGGACUGAUCAGGGAGAAAAAAGGAGAGAAGGCAUCAGAAACCAAGCUGCAAAAUGCACACACACAAAAUUUUGUCUUUGCUAUCCAUCUGUGUUGACACAUAUACAUCCAGAUUUAGGAGCAAAGGAGCCUCAUGUCUGCCAUUUACUCCAGAUGCUUCAGAAGACAAUGCACAUGCACUCACAUCUAUGGAGAGAGGAUACAGCACACGUGGUACAGAGUGUUCCCGUUGACAACGUGUCUGUCUUAGGGUCAUAAGAAACCAUUAUAUGCAGCAAAUCAAUUACAGCACAGAUGAAGAGUUGUCCCUUCCCUGGUGCUGGAGGAAAAUUCUGGUGUCCUCAUGGGUCUGCGGGUCAGCUGAGGCAAAAGAAACCCCUGUGGUCGCUUUAAGAUACAAAACAGAACCUUUGUUCGGAAAUUGGAAUGUACAGUCCAAUCUAUUAGUCAGCACUUCGGUGUGUUUCCAAGGCGCCAGAUGGAUUUUUCUGGGGAUUCCACUGCUGCCCUCAACUCCCAUUCAAUUCCCCUGGACAAUUCUGCCUCAUCAGCUCCUGGAUUUCCCACAAUCCACUCCCACAGACCCUUGCAGUUGUUAGAAUCCUCCUGACUUGCAAACCCUGGGUCCUUUCCCAGAGGCAGAUCCUGAGACCGACCUUUGUGUCCACGUGGUUUAUUAAGGAGAUGCUCCCCGGAGAGACCUGUGAGCAAGUCGGGAAAGGAGGACAGGGAAGGGGAAGAAGCCUAGCAGCCGCGCGACCUGAGGCGAAGCCCCAGCAUCAGUCUGGUUCCAUGGGAAGCUCUGGAGUGGAUAUUAAACCUC